rnacentral:lncRNA from 10 species
ACUUCCACCCUGAGGGCUCCCAGAAGGCGGCAGGUCCUUGGCUGAGGAUGGAGAACUGCCAGAUGGAUCAGGCUCCGGAGACAGAGACAGAACCUCAACAUCAGAGACAGUUCCCACACACCGAGUAUGUGCAGGGAGCCACGUCGGACCUGCCAACAUCCCGGGCCUUCCGACUCAGCCCGGCAACAUCCCUGCAUGGGAUUUUGGAAAGCAUUGAAAACAGACAUCCCUGAACCUAAGACGCAUUUCUGAUCUUCUGUGGCGAGGGUGGCAGGGUUGCCGGAGACUGUUUCUUUCUGGCAAUAGUCAACACCAGCUGGUGCCAGAAAGAGGAAGGAACGAAUCCCCAGCUGAGAGCAUUGCUCAGGUUCCAGCAAGGGCUGAGGCACCCGUCGCUGGCUGCUGGUUCACUUUGACAGCAGGGUGGGGUGGAGGGGCAUUUUUCCCAUCCCCUCCUUCUGCAUAGUGCUAUAUAGUUAGUAAAACUUCUUAUUGAGAUGUAAUACAAUUUAUUCAGUAUGGUCAUAAUAAUAAUUACUUAUAUACAUAUAUAUAAAUUUCACAUCUGUGCACCUAUCUAUAUAUGUCUGCUCCAUCUUUAUGCAGAUUCUCACAGUUUAGAAAUUAUAAGUUUAACAGACAUGAAAACAAACAGUCAUGUGCUGUUAUAAUAGGGAGAACAAGAUACGAGGGCUGUGAUUAUCAAACUUUGGUGUGUGCAAGAAUUAUCUGGGAACUUUAUUAAAAAUGCAGAUUGCUGCACCCAACACCAGAGCUUUCAGUGCUGUAAGUCUGGGUCAAGGCUCAGGAAUUUAGAUGCUAAAAAUUGACACUGAAUCGAACACUUUAAAUUGGUUAAUUGUAUGUUAUGUAAAUUUCACCCCCUUAAAAAAAUUGCCAGCAGACCUCAGACUACGCAUUCUCAUACACUAUACUAAAACAGUUUGAAGAGGGCUUAACACAGAUUGGAACAUUAAGAAAAGCUACUGAUGGAAGGUGCUGUCUGCAUUUUCAUGGAGAUUUCCAGAUGGGCAAGGCAGGGAAGGGUAUUUCAGGCAGAGGGCACAGCAUGGGAAAGAUUUGGAGAAAGAGACAAUAUGAGAAUGUAGAGAACAUAGGAAUUGAUGGGGAUAGUUGUAGGGUCCAAGACACAGGAGACCUCACCUGCCAGGGCAAGAUGUUGAGGAUCCCCUGAGGGCCCUGAAAAUCCUUGAAGUAUGUAAGGUGAGGUUGUGCUUAGAGACAAUCCCAGGCUGACUCAUAGGGACUGGCUUGGUCGAUCAUACAUACAAAGCACAGAAGCUAAUUCCAGUGGUACAAAAAGCCACAAGGACAAUAAUGCAGAAAUCGAGAGUAAAAAGUAAGUGCGUCCCUAAACCACCCUCCCUUUGAGACCUUUAUAGGAAACACACUUAAAUUAGUUACACAAAUUGGACCAUGAGAUGUAGGCUUUCUAGAAAUUCCUUUUCUCUCUUAACAAUUUAACAUGGACAUGUUCUCAUAGCAUUGCACAUGUUAAACUGCCUCAUUCGUUUUAAUGGCUGCAUAGUAUUCUAUAUGGGCACACUAGGUU